rnacentral:rRNA from 1 species
AGUCGAGCGAACAGACGAGGAGCUUGCUCCUCUGACGUUAGCGGCGGACGGGUGAGUAACACGUGGAUGACCAACCUAUAAGACUGGGAUAACUUCGGGAAACCGGAGCUAAUACCGGAUAAUAUAUUGAACCGCAUGGUUCAAUAGUGAAAGACGGUUUUGCUGUCACUUAUAGAUGGAUCCGCGCCGCAUUAGCUAGUUGGUAAGGUAACGGCUUACCAAGGCAACGAUGCGUAGCCGACCUGAGAGGGUGAUCGGCCACACUGGAACUGAGACACGGUCCAGACUCCUACGGGAGGCAGCAGUAGGGAAUCUUCCGCAAUGGGCGAAAGCUUGACGGAGCAACGCCGCGUGAGUGAUGAAGGUCUUCGGAUCGUAAAACUCUGUUAUUAGGGAAGAACAAAUGUGUAAGUAACUAUGCACGUCUUGACGGUACCUAAUCAGAAAGCCACGGCUAACUACGUGCCAGCAGCCGCGGUAAUACGUAGGUGGCAAGCGUUAUCCGGAAUUAUUGGGCGUAAAGCGCGCGUAGGCGGUUUUUUAAGUCUGAUGUGAAAGCCCACGGCUCAACCGUGGAGGGUCAUUGGAAACUGGAAAACUUGAGUGCAGAAGAGGAAAGUGGAAUUCCAUGUGUAGCGGUGAAAUGCGCAGAGAUAUGGAGGAACACCAGUGGCGAAGGCGACUUUCUGGUCUGUAACUGACGCUGAUGUGCGAAAGCGUG